UUUUAAUUUUAAUUAACAAAACCAGUAGUCAUGCGAUGAAUGCCGAAUCAUUUGUAUGCAUGCAUAGGUGUCUUUCGCCAUGACCUGAUUCUAGUCAGGGGGACUUGUCUGUAUAUCCAAAUUAACCAAUGGUUCGAGCCACUUUUUUCUUCUUCUUAUCUAUACGUGUAUUAUCUCCAAAUGAAUCUAGCUAGCUAGCUAUCCAGGGAAGGAUCUGGGAUUCAGAGAUAAGAGGAGGAGACGGAGAAACUUUCAAGAAAUACAGGAGGCCCCUUCUCCUCCAUUGUGUGAUAUGCAGAAAAAGGAAUAUAUACUCAAAGAAUUGAUGCUUUAGAUUGAGCUCUUCAUUCUCUGCAGAUGAAAUCAAGUUGUGCAAAAUUGAUGAACUGCAGAACCAGUUCAACUCUAUUGCUACAACGGUAAAAGCUUUUAAGCCCUUUUACCUGUAUUCGCACCUUGACAGAAGCAAACAAUGCGGCAGGUCAUAUGGUUUGGCCAAGCAGAGUCUCGACAGAAUUGAUGGUUUUGCAGCCUUGUUUUGAUCUAGUCUAUCUCUAGUAUUUCUUGCUUCUGUUUCUGCUUUGUACGCCAUUAUCUUGUAUCCUAUUAAUAAAGCCUGGUUUAGCUUGUUCAGCGUAA